CCGACUGAUGGGGUUACCAUUUGCUGGCGGCCAGUUUUAAUAGCUGCGGGUGAAGGGUCCUAUAAGAAGAAAAAAAAAACCCAACCUUCAUUUCCGCCCUUUCAUCUCCAGCCGUGCGCCGAUUCUCCCUCUUCGGUCCCUCAAGCUCUCCCUCUUCGCUCGCUCUUCCUCCCUCUCCCUCUCCCUCUCGCUCUCCCUCCCUCUUCGUUCGCUCUACGUCUCACUCUCCCUCUCCCUCUCCCUCUCACUCUCUCUCUCAAAAUCCUAGUCAUCUCUCUCUCUCUCUCUCUCUCUCUCUCUCUCUCUCUCUCUCUCUCCUCGGUCCUCUGCUGCAGUUCAACCUUCCGCUGCUCGUGAAUCUCCGAUUCUCAGGUUGCUGACACAUCAGAGUCAUUGGAUGGAUGGAAGUGAAGAAAAUGAGAGAUGGGUCUUGAUUACAUUUGCAUUUCAUGGGCUUUUCAAGAGUGAGGGCAUUCUACAUGGCAGAUUUCUUUGUAGCAGAUGUUGGUGACUGAAUUUUGUUCUUCUUUUAACUAUCAUCUCUUUACAAAAUAUAGAUUCUAUCUUACUGGUUGCUUGAAAUGCUUUUCAGUCGUGGGUUCCACUUGAGUAUCAUGCUAUCGACGGCUUACCAUGUUAUGUUGAAUGAGCAACAACUUACCAUGUUCUAGCUCUUUGCUUUUGGAUAAUGUUUGUGUAAAAACCUUUACGAAGGGCUUCGUGUCCAGAAAUGCGAUGCCCUGGUACUUGGUAGCUCUUGUAUGCAAAAUGCUGCAAAAUAUGGAAAAUUUUCAUUGUAAUGAUGAUGAUUAUGAUGAUUUAUUUGCUAUUGCACCUGGUUAUGGCAAUUGGUUUGGGUGUUAAUAUAGAAAGUAAUGCGAGAUUCGUUUUUGA